rfam:Diaporthe ampelina DA_912_scaffold_v01_268, whole genome shotgun sequence.
GCCCGGCUAGCUCAAUCGGUAGAGCGUGAGACUCUUAAGAACCUCACGAUUCUGACAGAGAUCGAUCUCAAGGCUGUGGGUUCGACCCCCACGUCGGGCU